CCAGGCCGCCGGGCGGUCGCGGUCUUCGGUUCAUCCGGGGAUCGAGGAAAGUCCGGGCUCCACGGGACAGGGCGCUGGGUAACUCCCAGGCAGGGCAACCUGACGGAAAGCGCACAGAAACAUACCGCCUACCCGUUCUCGCUUCGGCGCAAACGGCGGCAAGGGUGAGAUGGUGCGGUAAGAGCGCACCAGCGGUCGGGUGACCGGCCGGCUGAGCAAGCCCCGCCCGGAGCAAGACCAAAUAGGGAGGCAAUGGCUCGUCCCGGGCCGUCUCCGGGUAGGUCGCUCGAGGCGGCGGGCAACCGCCGUCCCAGAUGGAUGAUCGCCGCCCGAUGCCCGGCGCAACCCGUGGCAUCGGGAACAGAACCCGGCUUACAGGCGGCCUGGCCUU
rnacentral:RNase_P_RNA from 1 species